AUGAACGCUGGCGGCGUGCCUAAUACCUGCAAGUCGCGCGAACAGACGAGGAGCUUGCUCCUCUGACGUUAGCGGCGGACGGGUGAGUAACACGUGGAUAACCUACCUAUAAGACUGGGAUAACUUCGGGAAACCGGAGCUAAUACCGGAUAAUAUAUUGAACCGCAUGGUUCAAUAGUGAAAGACGGUUUUGCUGUCACUUAUAGAUGGAUCCGCGCCGCAUUAGCUAGUUGGUAAGGUAACGGCUUACCAAGGCAACGAUGCGUAGCCGACCUGAGAGGGUGAACGGCCACACUGGAACUGAGACACGGUCCAGACUCCUACGGGAGGCAGCAGUAGGGAAUCUUCCGCAAUGGGCGAAAGCUUGACGGAGCAACGCCGCGUGAGUGAUGAAGGUCUUCGGAUCGUAAAACUCUGUUAUUAGGGAAGAACAAAUGUGUAAGUAACUAUGCACGUCUUGACGGUACCUAAUCAGAAAGCCACGGCUAACUACGUG
rnacentral:rRNA from 1 species